UACAGAGGUCUCAAGCGUUGUUCGGAUUCAUUGGGCGUAAAGGGUGCGUAGGCGGCGAGGUUAGUCGGAUGUGAAAUCCCAGGGCUCAACCCUGGAACUGCAUUCGAUACUGCCUUGCUAGAGUACUGGAGAGGAGACUGGAAUUUACGGUGUAGCAGUGAAAUGCGUAGAUAUCGUAAGGAAGACCAGUGGCGAAGGCGAGUCUCUGGACAGU
rnacentral:rRNA from 1 species